GCCAGCAUGGUGUAGUGGUUUGAGUGUUGGACUACAACUCUGGAGACCAUGGUUCGAAUCCUGGUUUGGCC